GUUCGUCUCAAUGCUGUCGCAAGUGAAACAAACGUUUUUGCUUCGAGUCCUAUCUGAUGCUGGAGUAGGUUUUGGUGUCGAUUUCAGCGGCAAUGAGCGCAUUGAUGUAAAUCGGUGCCUCUACAGUUACGGUAUGAGGCGGACGGAAAUUUCAUCGAAUGACAACAGCAUGUCUCAAGACACAAUGUACCGGCGUGUCAGCGAGGUAAAUUGCGAGAGCGUCAGGAUAAACAGUCACCUGCGGCCUUCGCUGUGCACCAUUCUUCUGUGGUAUGUUUCGGCUUCGAACAGCGGGCUGAUGCGACUCUCCCCGUGCAUUUCGAGACUCUUCUGUCUGGGGAGGGUGACUCCGUCGUCUUUGCAGUGACAGGGGUGAUGUCUCACGUCGUCGCACCCCGCUGCUCCGGCGGAGCAGGAAAGAGAUGGACACAGGCAAGAAAAACGGAUGUCACGUGCAGCAGGAGUUACCUCGAAAGGUGAUCUUCGAGCGAAGUCAGAAGGCGCACUGCACCGUUCGAUCUCCUUGGUCGCAGACGACAAAGGCAGCAACAGGAAGUAUGCUUUUGUAGAUGAACGCAUUUCCUAAAGGUGAUAAGUUGUAAGCUCUGUACUCCGCUGCCGUCUUGAAAGUGCACACUGCAACCCUCACUCAACUAUGACACGCCUCAGUUGUGGGUCCCCACCAGAUAAUUUUAGUUUGGACUACUUUUUAGAUUCGUGUCUCUGAAACCUGCCACAGCAUAGUGAGUGAAGGGAUAGUGUCACGGAGGCGUUUGAGCUCUAAACUUUUGCUGUCAGUUGAGAUGUGACUUAAAUUGGAAAGCAGGAUCCGUGGCUGCAGUCACCUGCGGGGUACCACGGAGUUAGCUCGCGGAAAUGAAACGUCAAUUGGCAGAUUCGAGUUCUUUCUCCGGACGAGGUGGCCUCGAUAUCACUGCGAAUCGAGUAAAAUAGUCAGGUUGACAGUUACGGG
rnacentral:lncRNA from 1 species